UACGGAGGGUGCAAGCGUUAUCCGGAUUUACUGGGUUUAAAGGGUGCGUAGGUGGGUCUGUAAGUCAGUGGUGAAAUCUCCGGGCUUAACCCGGAAAUUGCCAUUGAUACUAUAGGUCUUGAAUCAUCUGGAGGUAAGCGGAAUAUGUCAUGUAGCGGUGAAAUGCUUAGAUAUGACAUAGAACACCGAUAGCGAAGGCAGCUGCUACACAAUUAUUGACACUGAGGCUCGAAAGCGUGGGGAAUCAAACAGGAGUUAGA
rnacentral:rRNA from 1 species